rnacentral:rRNA from 1 species
AUGCCAUGUGGGCAGUUUGGCCACCGCCCACCUCUUCCCCCACAUCCUCCCCGCCACACCCCCACGUCCUCCCGCCCCGUUCCUCCCGCACCUGUUCGCCGCCCUUCGCCCCACCCACCCCCUCCUACCGGAGCCGCCCCCCGCUGGAUCCGCCCUUCGCCGCACCCCGUUGGAGCCGCCCCUCCCGCGCUGGAUCCGCCCUUCGCCGCCCCCCUCCCCCGUGCCGCUGGAGCCACCGUCGGAGCUGCCUUCGCCGAAGGCCGCUGCCGUACCGCUCGCCGCUGUUCCUCUUCUGCUUCACGUGAGACUACAGGUGCACGGGCGGGAGGAUUUCCCAAGCCCUGCCCCAUCCUCUCAUCUCUCGAUCUGAUGAACACCAAGAGGCUAGUAAGAGUCGGGAAUCAGCCAACGGAUAGAGCCCCAUGCCCAGAAAGAUUAGAUGCGCUGGAGGAGACAAUUCGAGGGCAUGCAGAUAAAUUGGGGGACCAUGUAGUUGAGCCUGCUAUUGGCUUAACAUUCGACUCCUUGGGUGAAGCAUAUGAUUUUUGCAACCUUUAUUCGUGGGAGCAUGGUUUUGGUAUCAGGUAUAAAGAGCCAUCCAUCGGGCAUGAAGCAGUAGAACCAUUGACUGAAGAUUCCUUAGUUUCCACACGAUGUCUGAUGAAGUGUGUCACUGCUCAUGGAAUUUUUAGAGUUAGAAGGAGAGUGGCGCAGCAGUGGUGGGCUGGUGGCAGGAGGAAGAAGAUUGCUCCAUCCAUCAGUUGGCCGAGCUCCGGCGUCCUCACGUCAGGCUUGUCUUGGAGUGCUGACAAUGAAGCAUUCUACAUGCAAGUGGAGUUGCCAUCACUCGUGACGGAUUUCGUGGGCGGGGCCAUAGGCCCGGAGAAGCACCUUAUACUUUUCCACAUCCGCCAUAAUGCUUGUGUCGGUGAUUUGCUCCUUCGUGAGCCGGUGCUAGUCGAGGAGGAGGAGGUUGUACCUCUGGUUGUCCCGCGUUUGCCGGAGCGUGGCCUCCCACUCUUUCAACACCAUGACAGUGUAGUGUGCCCGCACCUCGCCCAUGGUGAUGCCGACAUGGACCAACGAGGGCGGUGGCACAAGAUCAUCGUCAGCCGCCUCUUCCAUUUGUUCGUCCACAACGCUGGUCUCCAUGGAGAGCUCGUCGGCAAGCCAACCUCUAUCUGUCUAGCUCGGCAGGCCUGCUAA